rnacentral:rRNA from 1 species
GACGAACGCUGGCGGCGUGCUUAACACAUGCAAGUCGAACGGAAAGGCCCUGCCUUGGUGCGCUGCUCGAGUUACGAACGGGUGAGUAACACGUGAGUAACCUGCACUUGACUUUGGGAUGACUUAAUGAAACUGGGGCUAAUACCGGCUAGGAGCUCCUGCUGCAUGGUGGGGGUUGGAAAGUUUCGGCGGUUGGGGGUGGAAUAGCGUCUUAUGGGCUUGUUGGUUGGGUAGUGGCUUACCAAGGCUUUGACGGGUAGCCGGGCUGAGAGGGUGAGCGGACACGCUAGGACGGAGAUGAGGCCCGGCCUACUACGGGAGGCAGGGGUGGAGAAUAUUGCACUAGGGGAUGAAGCAAGACGCAGCAACGCAGCGUGCGGGAAGACGUCCUGCGGGUUGUAAUCCGCUUUCGCUUGUGACGAGGCGAGAGUGACGGUACCGGGUGAAGAAGCACCGGCUAACUACGUG